rnacentral:rRNA from 1 species
UUCAACGGGUCUAAGUGAUGAGCCGAAGCUCCGGGUCUAUCGAAAGAUAGGCGGUAGGCGAGUAUUGUCUGCGCGGUGAAUGCGUACGGAAACGAGCGUUGGAGUGCAGACAAGAGCUGAUGUUGGCAUGAGUAGCGAUAAACCGGGUGAAAAACCCGGUCGCCGUAAACCCGAGGGUUCCUGGGUAAAGAUCAUCUUCUCAGGGUUAGUCGGUCCCUAAGGCGAGGCAGAAAUGCGUAGUCGAUGGGAAGCAGGCGAAUAUUCCUGCACCAGCACGGAUGGUUUUGUAAGGUGGGACGGAGGAGGAUAGCCGAGCGACCUGAUGGAUGGUCGUUCAAGCCGGUAGGCGGCUCGCGUAGGAGGCAUCUGGCCACAAACGCGCGGGCAACGCCGAGAGGUGAUGAGGGUCGCCGCAAGGCGGACAACUCGGUGAGUCCAAGCUUCCAAGAAAAGCAUCGUACAAGUGUACCGCUGUGCUGACCGUACCGUAAACCGACACAGGUGGGUGGGGAGAACAUCCCAAGGCGCUUGAGAGAACUCGGGUUAAGGAACUCGGCAAAUUGACACCGUAACUUCGGGAGAAGGUGUGCCCUUGAGGGUGACGGGCCUCGCGCCAUGAGCCUUUGGGGGUUGCAGAGAAUCGGGGGUAGCGACUGUUUACCAAAAACACAGGACUCUGCGAAGUCGCAAGACGACGUAUAGGGUCUGACGCCUGCCCGGUGCCGGAAGGUUAACAGGAGAUGUCAGCGCAAGCGAAGCAUCGAAUCGAAGCCCCGGUAAACGGCGGCCGUAACUAUAACGGUCCUAAGGUAGCGAAAUUCCUUGGCGGGUAAGUUCCGUCCUGCACGAAUGGCGUAACGACUU